UACGUAGGUGACGAGCGUUAUCCGGAUUUAUUGGGCGUAAAGCGCACGCAGGCGGCAGAGAAAGUCUGACGUGAAAUCUCCCGGCUUAACUGGGAGCGGUCGUUGGAAACUACUUGGCUUGAGGCGAUGAGAGGGGUGUGGAAUUCCCGGUGUAGUGGUGGAAUGCGUAGAUAUCGGGGGGAACAUCAGUGGCGAAAGCGGCACCCUAGCAUUAGCCUGACGCUCAUGUGCGAAAGCGUGGGGAGCGAACGGG
rnacentral:rRNA from 1 species